AUGUAACAGAAGAAGCUGAAGAGACUAAAAUGGCUGGUUUGACUAGCCAACUUAUUCCAAAUGCAUCUGGGGUGGAAUCUCUAAUCAGAGAUGUAUGCGAUACAACUUCCAUUGCAGAGCUUGAACUGAAACUUGAUGGAUUUCGGUAAUACAUUGUGAGGGACUUAGCUGGAAAA